CCUACGGGAGACUGCAGUAGGGAAUCUUCCACAAUGGACGAAAGUCUGAUGGAGCAACGCCGCGUGAGUGAAGAAGGGUUUCGGCUCGUAAAGCUCUGUUGGGUGUGAAGAAAGAUAGAGGUAGUAACUGGCCUUUAUUUGAUGGUAAUUACUUAGGAAGUCACGGCUAACUACGUGCCAGCAGCCGCGGUAAUACGGAGGGGGCAAGCGUUGUCCGGAUUUAUUGGGCGUAAAGCGAGUGCAGGCGGUUCAAUAAGUCUGUUGUGAAAGCCCUCGGCUCAACCGGAGAAUUGCAUCAGAAACUGUUGAACUUGAGUGCACACAGGGAGAACGGAACUCCAUGUGUAGCGGUGGAAUGCGUAGAUAUCUGGAAGAACACCAGUGGCGAAGGCGAGUGUCUGGGCUGCAACUGACGCUGAGGCUCGAAAGCAUGGGUAGCAAACAGGAUUAGAUACCCGAGUAGUC
rnacentral:rRNA from 1 species